rnacentral:rRNA from 1 species
UUCUGGUGUAGCAAUACAUCAGAGUUUGAGCGGCGCAAGGGUGCGUAACACGUGGGUAAUUUGCCGUGAAGUUGGGGAUAACUCGCUGAAAGGCGAGCUAAUACCGGAUGUGGUUUCGGAGUGGCAUCAUUCUGCAACUAAAGCUGGGGAUCGUAAGACCUGGCGCUUCAUGAUAAGCCCGCGGCCUAUCAGCUAGUUGGUGAGGUAACGGCUCACCAAGGCUAAGACGGGUAGCUGGUCUGAGAGGACGACCAGCCACACUGGAACUGAGACACGGUCCAGACACCUACGGGUGGCAGCAGUCGAGAAUUUUUCUCAAUGGGCGCUAGCCUGAAGGAGCGACGCCGCGUGGGGGAUGAAGGGUUUCGAUCCGUAAACCCCUGUCAUUCGUGAACAAUGGUUACUCAUGAAUAGUGGGUGACUUGAUAGUAACGGAAGAGGAAGGGACGGCUAACUCUGUGCCAGCAGCCGCGGUAAUACAGAGGUCCCGAGCGUUGUUCGGAUUCACUGGGCGUAAAGGGUGCGUAGGUGGCUGGGAAAGUUUGAUGUGAAAGCUCAGGGCUUAACCCUGAAAUGGCAUUGAAUACUACUUAGCUGGAGGUUUGGAGGGGGGACUGGAAUUCUCGGUGUAGCAGUGAAAUGCGUAGAUAUCGAGAGGAACACCAGUGGCGAAGGCGAGUCCCUGGACAACACCUGACACUGAGGCACGAAAGCUAGGGGAGCAAACAGGAUUAGAUACCCUGGUAGUCCUAGCCCUAAACGGUGCGUGUUUGCUGUAGGAGGAAUCGACCCCUUCUGUGGC